rnacentral:rRNA from 1 species
GUGAAAGGCCACGGCUCAACCGUGGGACUGCCUUUGAUACUGUUGGUCUUGAGUUAUAGUGGGGUUGCCGGAACAUGUGGUGUAGCGGUGAAAUGCAUAGAUAUCACAUAGAACACCGAUCGCGAAGGCAGGUGGCCAACUAUAUACUGACGCUGAUGGACGAAAGCGUGGGGAGCGAACGGGAUUAGAUACCCCGGGUAGUCCACGCCGUAAACGAUGGAUACUAGCUGUGGGGUUUUCGGACUCUGUGGCCAAGCGAAAGUGAUAAGUAUCCCACCUGGGGAGUACGUUCGCAAGAAUGAAACUCAAAGGAAUUGACGGGGGCCCGCACAAGCGGUGGAGCAUGUGGUUUAAUUCGAUGAUACGCGAGGAACCUUACCAGGGCUUAAAUGCAGUAUGACAGAUUCAGAGAUGGAUUUUUCUUCGGACAUAUUGCAAGGUGCUGCAUGGUUGUCGUCAGCUCGUGCCGUGAGGUGUCAGGUUAAGUCCUAUAACGAGCGCAACCCCUGCCGUUAGUUGCCAGCAUGUAAAGAUGGGGACUCUAACGGGACUGCCGGUGCAAACCGUGAGGAAGGUGGGGACGACGUCAAAUCAUCACGGCCCUUACGUCCUGGGCUACACACGUGCUACAAUGGCCGGUACAGAGGGGAGCCACCCCGUGAGGGGGCGCGGAUCUUCAAAGCCGGUCACAGUUCGGAUCGGGGUCUGCAACUCGACCCCGUGAA